CACGGGGGGAGCAAGCGUUGUUCGGAAUCACUGGGCGUAAAGGGCGUGUAGGCGGUCAGGUAAGUGGGAUGUGAAAGCCCCGGGCUUAACCUGGGAAUGGCGGUUGAAACUGGCGAACUUGAAUCUGGCAGAGGGGGGUGGAAUUCCACGUGUAGCAGUGAAAUGCGUAGAGAUGUGGAGGAACACCGAUGGCGAAGGCAGCCCCCUGGGCUGAGAUUGACGCUCAGGCACGAAAGCGUGGGGAGCAAACAGG
rnacentral:rRNA from 1 species